rnacentral:rRNA from 1 species
AUUGAACGCUGGCGGCAUGCCUUACACAUGCAAGUCGAACGGUAACAGGUCUUCGGAUGCUGACGAGUGGCGAACGGGUGAGUAAUACAUCGGAACGUGCCCGAUCGUGGGGGAUAACGAAGCGAAAGCUUUGCUAAUACCGCAUACGAUCUACGGAUGAAAGCAGGGGACCGCAAGGCCUUGCGCGAACGGAGCGGCCGAUGGCAGAUUAGGUAGUUGGUGGGAUAAAAGCUUACCAAGCCGACGAUCUGUAGCGGGUCUGAGAGGACGACCAGCCACACUGGGACUGAGACACGGCCCAGACUCCUACGGGAGGCAGCAGUGGGGAAUUUUGGACAAUGGGCGAAAGCCUGAUCCAGCCAUGCCGCGUGCAGGAUGAAGGCCUUCGGGUUGUAAACUGCUUUUGUACGGAACGAAAAGACUCUGGUUAAUACCUGGGGUCCAUGACGGUACCGUAAGAAUAAGCACCGGCUAACUACGUG